UGAAGAAGCUAAUAUUUUUGCAUUUUCUUAUUGCGACAUGUAUAUACUUUUCUUCUGUUGUUCUGUAGAAUCAUGAGCUUCCCCUGACAUAUAAUUUCCACAACUAUAUACUUCGAAGCAUGGAUGAUGAAUUUUGUGACAUUGUUGGUGUUAGUGACAACAUUGGUGAAACUGAAGAUGGAACUGGUGGACAUGUUCUUUGUGCAAUUGAUAUGCCAAAUCUUAGGUGUUGUUUGUAUUUUUCAUUAUUUUUUUUAAUU